rnacentral:misc_RNA from 1 species
GUCUGUGCGCAGAUCUGACGGUUCGUAUUCCCGGGUUAAAGUCUUCAGCUUCAUGCGACGAGACGUGCUACGCGACGAAAACCAUGUUGCGACGGUGUGUAACUACUCGCAUCUUGGGCUGCGACGAUGGCAAUUUCUUGCCAUGGAUUGUCGGUUUGUGCUGCCAAUGCGAGGGGGCAGGGAAGCACAUUGAUUUUGC